CUAAUUUAACCAAAAAAAUACCAAUGGAAAAUUGGGCUACCACUUUUCAUUUUGGGCCAGAAAAAAUAAAUUUCUGGUGGCCCAAAAAUUUUUUUUU